AAGACCUCGUCUGGAGCUGGAGGAGGAGGAGGAAGAAGAAGAAGCCGAAGAGACUUUGACAGAGUCAAAAAUUAUAGCCCAAGACUCGGAUGUGAGAUUUGACCCUGCAGAGGAAUGCACAUCUGCAACUGAACCAACAGACUUGUCAAUCCAAGAAUGCCCAGUUCAUAACAUUGCCAAGUUCAUUGUCUAUGAAACAUGCCUCAUGGAGCUCUUCAGUGACUGCCCAGUGUGUCAAAGGAGAUGUGAUGUAAAGUCACAAAGGCUUGGGACAUUUCUGAGCGUACAGCAAGUCUGCCCACACUGCGAGUUUGUAAGAAAAUGGAACAGUCAGCCAAUUAUUGGUAGUACUCCAGCUGGCAACCUGCAUCUUUCUGCUGCAGUCUACUUGAGUGGUGCAUAAUUUUUUGUAGUUGAAAAGGUAUUUGCUGCCAUGAAACUACACAUUUUUAAAUAUGAUUCAUUUCGCCGUCAUGCAAGACUUUGCAUUGAACCUGCUAUUGUCCACAAGUGGAGAAAUUGGCAGAGUGAAAUGCUAGAACAGCUCAGUCGAAGAGAGAAUGUGAUUGUUGGAGGAGAUAAGAGGGCUGACUCCCCAGGUCACUCGGCCAAGUAUGGGAGUUAUACAAUGAUGGACCUUGCAACUAACACAGUGGUCGACCUACAGUUAGUCCAGAGUAAUGAGGUGGGCGGCAGUUACCAUAUGGAAAAAGAAGGCCUAAAGAGAAGCCUUGACCUGUUGGAUGCCCGCGGUGUUCGUCUGGAAUGCAUCAUCACAGACCGACAUCCUCAAAUACAGAAAUAUCUCAGGGAUCGAAAUGUCACUCAGUUUUACGAUGUGUGGCAUAUCGAGAAAGGAAUUUCCAAAAAACUGGACAAGAUAUGCCAGAUAAAGGGGUGUGAGAAGUUGCGUAAAUGGUUGCGUAGCAUCAAAAACCACAUCUACUGGACUGCUGCAUCAUCCACAACAGGUCCUGAAAGAGUGGCAAAGUAGACCUCUAUCUUAAACCAUGUACAUGAAGACCCCAAUUUUCCGGCUUAUCUGCAUCCGCAACGGAUAAGCAGAGACAAGAACAAAUGGCUGUCGGCUGCAACGAUGCCAUUCUACAAGCUGGAGAAAGUUCUCGCUAACAAGAGAAUAUUGAAGGAUGUGGCCAAGCUAAGUCCUCACCACCAGACGUCAACUGUUGAAGCUUUCCACAGCGUCCUACUGCGGUUUGCACCCAAAAAUGUGGUAUUCCCAUUUCUGGGGAUGCUAUGCAGGUUGUACUUGGCUGCACUGCAUUACAAUGAAAAUGCCGGGCGUCCCCAGGCCACAUCAGCAACUGGUAAACCUAUUUACAAGCUUGCCUUUCCAAAGGCAAAGAAAGGAGAGUAUAGGGUCCGAAAAGUGAAGACGCAGCAAACUUUCGGUUAUGUAGAAGAGCUGCUGGACCUCAUCUUCAACCAAGUGUUUGUGGACCCAUCACCCUAUGUUGAUGAAGUGUUGGGAAUUCACAUACCACCUGCUCUAUCAUCAGCCUACGAUCGACCUGAGAUGGAGGAGGCUAUCUCCAGCAGGGUGACCCGCUUCAAUCAAUAGCUAUCCUAAAACCCACAUAGCUGCCCUGCUCUUCAGGAAACUGUCUCCGAAUCUUCAGCACCACACAGGCAGGAAUCACAACACGGACUCUCCGCCCGAGGAAACCCCAACACCAGCUCGCAAAGCUCCGAUAAGCCAAAAAGCGGCACUGUCUAACAGAGACAUAAUAAUGAAACAUUGUUUUAGAAAUUGCACUACAAUUUGAACUUGGGAGUUAUCACGUAUACAUUUUUGAUAAAAUAACUAGCUUUAACAAAAUUUC